UCUAUGGCUUGAGGUCACAGUGCAGAACCCCUCUGGCAUGGACCUCAAUCACGCCUUCAACUAGCUGCCUUAGAAGUACCUGCAGACUCUUUUGGGUGGGGAUGGAGAAGGUGGAGUGGCCAGUGCUUCAGCUGGAGCUCCAGGACACUGAGGAUGUUGUGUCUUUUGGAACUGGGCCUGAUUUUACAGAACAGAAACAAAACAGUUCAUGGUAGCUGUAUCAAUUUAUCCAAUAAAGUAGAUCUACAGGUCUUACU